UUACGACGGAGCUACUUCUUUUCCUCAGCACCCGACGACCGGUCAAACGAGGCGGGGAAGCAGCGGAACCGAUCCUCCUCGCGCGGUCCCAGCAGCCGUUGUAACGGUAACGGCUGCUGCCUCCAACUGGGAUGGCACUGAGCUCCUCUCACACGCCAGCUUUUCCAACCGGCCGUUCUCUCCUCCCACUUUUCCUCCACCUUCUCCUCCUCUACUUUUCCUCUCCAGGCUUUCUCUUCUCCUCUCCCUCCGAGGCACGCGUGAUGAAUAAUGAAAGGCUCGCGAGGUCCCAGGAGUGUUUUCUGUCCCGUUUUCUUUUUUUCAGAGCGCGAGCCGAAUACAAUGAGGCCGACCCGCGUGGAUCAAGUUACCGCCGUCCUGCCUUUCAUUCAUUCAUUUAUUCAGCCGCUAAGCAGUCUGACUGCAGCCCUGUCCAGCUUCACCUCCCUCUCUUCUUCUUGCAAAUGCGCUUAGUGUAUUAACAUGGUAUGACAUAGAAGCCCACUCCCAAAGCCACUCUUCAAAAUUGGAAAGACAAAAGAACAGACUUUUCAAGCGAGGUGGUGACAAAAAAUCAACUGGACCGAACUUUGUCAAGUCAAGAAAGAGCAAAAGUUAAAGAGGAUAAAACAACUGUAAUGGAGAAUUGGGUCAAAGACUGGCAUCUUGGGGUCACCAAAUCUUCAUACCAACCAGAAGAUGCCAUGUAUUUGACAGCUGAUUGUUUGGGUGAUGCAAAUAAAAUUACCUUUUCUAUCCCACCA